rnacentral:rRNA from 1 species
CACGUAGGGCGCGAGCGUUGUCCGGAAUUAUUGGGCGUAAAGAGCUCGUAGGCGGUCUGUCACGUCGGCUGUGAAAUCCCGAGGCUCAACCUCGGGUCUGCAGUCGAUACGGGCAAACUAGAGUAUUGCAGGGGAGACUGGAAUUCCUGGUGUAGCGGUGAAAUGCGCAGAUAUCAGGAGGAACACCGGUGGCGAAGGCGGGUCUCUGGGCAGUAACUGACACUGAGGCGCGACAGCGUGGGGAGCAAACAGG